AUACUGCUGGCCCUUGGGACCGGGAGAGGCGGAGGGUACCCCUGGGGUAGGGGUGAAAUCCUAUAAUCCCAGGGGGACCGCCAGUGGCGAAGGCGCUCCGCUGGAACGGGUCCGACGGUGAGGGACGAAGGCCAGGGGAGCAAACCGGAUUAGAUACCCGGGUAGUCCUGGCUGUAAAGGAUGCGGGCUAGGUGUCGGGCGAGCUUCGAGCUCGCCCGGUGCCGGAGGGAAGCCGUUAAGCCCGCCGCCUGGGGAGUACGGCCGCAAGGCUGAAACUUAAAGGAAUUGGCGGGGGAGCACUACAAGGGGUGGAGCGUGCGGUUUAAUUGGAUUCAACGCCGGGAACCUCACCGGGGGCGACGGCAGGAUGAAGGCCAGGCUGAAGGUCUUGCCGGACACGCCGAGAGGAGGUGCAUGGCCGCCGUCAGCUCGUACCGUGAGGCGUCCACUUAAGUGUGGUAACGAGCGAGACCCGCGCCCCCAGUUGCCAGUCCUCCCCGUUGGGGAGGAGGCACUCUGGGGGGACCGCCGGCGAUAAGCCGGAGGAAGGAGCGGGCGACGGUAGGUCAGUAUGCCCCGAAACCCCCGGGCUACACGCGCGCUACAAUGGGCGGGACAAUGGGAUCCGACCCCGAAAGGGGAAGGGAAUCCCCUAAACCCGCCCCCAGUUCGGAUUGCGGGCUGCAACUCGCCCGCAUGAAGCUGGAAUCCCUAGUACCCGCGUGUCAU
rnacentral:rRNA from 1 species